CCUACGGGAGGCAGCAGUAGGGAAUAUUGGACAAUGGGUGCGAGCCUGAUCCAGCCAUGCCGCGUGCAGGAAGAAGGCCUUCUGGGUUGUAAACUGCUUUUGCCGGGGGAUAAAAGACCCAUGCGUGGGGAAUUGAAGGUACCCGGUGAAUAAGCCACGGCUAACUACGUGCCAGCAGCCGCGGUAAUACGUAGGUGGCGAGCGUUGUCCGGAUUUAUUGGGUUUAAAGGGUGCGUAGGCGGCCCCGUAAGUCAGUGGUGAAAUACGGCAGCUCAACUGUCGAGGUGCCAUUGAUACUGCGGGGCUUGAGUACAGUCGAGGUAGGCGGAAUUGACGGUGUAGCGGUGAAAUGCUUAGGUAUCGUCAAGAACACCGAUAGCGAAGGCAGCUUGCUAGGCUGUAACUGACGCUGAGGCACGAAAGUGCGGGGAUCAAACAGGAUUAGAUACCCUGGUAGUCCGCACAGUAAACGAUGGUCACUCGGUGUUGGCGGUACACGGCCAGCGCCUUAGCGAAAGCGUUAAGUGACCCACCGNGGGAGUACGCCGCGAGGUAGAACGACGAAGAAGUAGACGGCGUGAGACGUGCCGACGGACGACGACGAGGGAGGUUAGG
rnacentral:rRNA from 1 species